UGUUGCUGAUGAAGGAGCCUGCAGUGUUUAGCAACUCAUUCUCUUUGUAUUGUCUGAUCUUUAUGAAAGUGUGUGUGUUGAGAGGGGGAGGAGUUAGACUCCAAGCAAUCCCAACAUCAACAUCACAAGAGAUGUUGUCAUUCGCUGUCUGAUGGUUUACCUUGGGGAACGUACUGAUCAGCUCUUAAAAGAGUAUGAUGAUGCAGAUGAAGACAGCGCGUCACAUGACCUUGCUGUUCAAGGGAUGGCGAUCUACAGCAUCAAGACAAAUGCUUCAGAGGGUUCCCAUGACAUUGGCAUUGUUGUAGAGGGCAUCAGAGUGCUGACUUCUCAGGGCACCAUUCCAAGGGCUUGCUGCAUGCUCAUUUGGAUCGCAUGCAGUCAAUCUUGCCUAUCCCAAGCAGCUAAAGUACACGUUCGAAGCCUUCCAGAAACUCUUUCUCAAACUGGACUGUUCAAAGCUGUCCCCAAAGUUGAACAGCCUGAAAAAUAAGCUUCUUGCUUGAGAAAAAUGGUUAUGUCUCCAUCAAAAAUGGCACACAAAAUGGUUACCUUCAGUGUUUUGUUAAAUGUUUGAGUCGUUUGUUCCCGUUUAUUUAAGGACGCCCUUUUGAAGGAUACUGCAUGGGUUUGUCUAUGGCCUUAGUGGGCUCCUGGAAAACUGAGUUAAAAAAGUGUUAAAGGUGGUUGUUAAAAAAAAUCCAAUUAACCAUAAUUGUUUAAAGAGAGUGGCAUCGUGUUUUUGAAUCAGUAUUUGCACAGGCAACAUUUCCUGUACCUUUUAGUGCCACUGUAAAUC